UAUUACAGUUUGUUUCCCAUGAUUUUCAUUAGAGAUAUUCUCACUCGUUUUUCUCACUAGCCAGAACUUUUAGGGGUCAUGUAGAAACCAUGUCAUACUUUGCUAUGCAUGAGAAUACAUUAAAAAACCUUACGAAGUUGGUCGUUUUUCUGCUGAUCCAGUUUUUUGUUUGAUUGAAUCGUGAGUAGGACAAUACUUUGACUGUCCUACCCAAGUGUUUUCGUGCGUAGUAUAUGUCCUUCCCACUUCCCGCGCCACUGCUGAAAACAAUUAUGAGAUUUCGAUGGGUUGGAAUUCUGAGAUUUUAGAAAGGAAUUUCUGAAAAUCUUGAAGGAACUCUCAGGGUUCCAAUAUGAAUUGUUAGAUUUAUUGGAAACUUCAGAAAUCGUUAACAUUCCAAUUCUAAUUGGUGAUCGGAAAUGGCGAUACUAGUUCUGGUGGUCCAGUUGAAAUCCUUUGAUUCCAGUAAAAAAACAGAAAUUUUGAUUUGUGUUCUGCGAUUUCAGCGGAAAUUGAGAGUUAUGAUUUUAUGGGGAGUAUUCUGAGUUUGGAACGGGAAUGGCGUAUGGAACUAACACGAAAAAAACGCCGUUCCGACUGAUUAACUAAUUAACAGCAACUAAACAUGGACAAAAUCUGUAGUCUGAAAUAUUUACGUAGGUUAUGGGCUCUAAGUAAUAUUGAAAUAUCUAACUAUUGUAAAAAAUAACAAAGUUAUUACGUUAGAUUGGUUAAUUAUGACACGAUGCAUUUUAGAUUCUAAGAAGCCCCAAAGUUCAACAGAUGAAAAAUGUGCUGAUAAUCAAUCCAACACUUGGUGACAAAUCCAUACUUGAUCUCUAAUGGAUAUGAUCCACGUCACUAUAUUGAGCGGCAUGUCGUCAUACAUUCUACGUCAGCGAUUGAGAACGUCAUCAUAGUCCAUUUCUUAUUUCCAAACGGAAACAUUAUUACUCACAUGCUACCGAUAGGAAGUAUCGCGGAAGGAAGUAUUUCAUAUUUAGUUCAGUUAACUCACAAAGAUGGAUGUGAACGGAUUAAUUAAUUUAGUAAUCAUGCUAACUGCACUGGAUACAAUUUUGGCUUCACGCCAAAUGCUUCAUUUGGGUGAAACCAGUGCCAAACGGCAAACCGGGAUUGAUCAAGAACGAACAGAUUGCCUUUAUCGGGAGGAACAAUCGAGUAUCAUCGAUCUGUGCCAAUCUGAAAGAAGUUGUGGAACGAGUGACCGGUAUCCAUCACAAAACAUGUUUCGUUUCCGACCAGGACAUCGAGGAGUGUGCCAGCGGCAAUAUAUCAUUGGGAAAGAUUUUCAUUAUAAUUCAACAUUUCAAAUGUAUUCCGAAUCCAAAUCCAAAUGUAUUCCAUCUGGAUGUAAAAUUGUGAUAGACAAAAUUAAUAAUAAUUGAAGGCAUUAUGAAAAAUUUAGAUGAAUUUAUGUUUAAAUAGUGUUUUGAAGUGAAAUUUGAUAGCAAUGAAGUAAAGCAUACACACAGCAAUGAAGUAAAGCAUACAAAAAAUGCUUUGUACUUAGUUAGAGUAGUUGCUCCAAUAGUAAAAAUGUUAAGCGUUCCAACCGUUCCAGAUGCUCAAUAAAUGUAGUGGCAGACGGUUCAACAUGAGCAGCCCAAGAACGAGCUCGAUUUAGACCUGAUUGAAGUUUGAGAUUAUUACUGUAACCUCCAAGCAUCUAAAGUUUAGAAAAAUAAAAAUAAAUGUUCACUUAAUAA
rnacentral:lncRNA from 1 species